GCAUAUUUCAAGUAGUCUUGGACAGCACUUUUCAGGGACACUUGACAGACAGCAGAGGAGGGAAAAGUCAAAUAUUUUGCGGCAGAGAUAAGUGGGAGCCAUGCUUACAGUGCUUCUGUCUUGCCUGCCUGGCUGUGCUCUGCUGUGCCGUGUUUCGUUGGAAUUGUUUGUGUUGAGCCGUGUGACCCACUAUUUGGACUUCUGUUCCAUUAUCUUUCAAAAACUCGCUGCACUUGGGUCUCACGCAAAGAAAAGCAAAGUGAGAGCCCAGCGUCAGGUGCUAUAAGCUGCUAGCUAGGCCUGUAGCCAGGCCCAGAGAGCCAGACCUGGCAGCUCCGAGGCUGCGACGUGUGAAACGCUGCACACAGGCUGCACACAAAGGAGCUCACUCCAUCUGUAUGCACCCUACAUAGGCAGGCUUUUGUUGCAGCCGACAGGCACAUGACUGCUAGCAUCUUAACCCCUGAGAGCCAGCGUCUCUUUUCCCCUUUUACUAGACUGCACACUGCAGUAGACACCACAAUGAGUCAAUACUUUUAGCAAAAAACAACACUGGAUUUUAAGCAGGAGUCAGCUUGAUAGUUAUUAUGUGGUUGCUGUUUCUGGCCAGAGAUUGAAUUUAAAAAGAAAAAAUACAUAUGUGUGAGUAUAGGUUUAGGGUUAAUAUUGGUGGACAGAUAGUUGAAAUGCUCUGAUCAUUCUCUUAAUGUUCGGGCACAACUUUGCCAAAGUGAACUGAAUGCUAUACAUUUUUUUAGGAAAAUCAUUUAAUGUUGAGGUCAGCCAUGAAUAAAAGACCACAAAACAAAACAAGAAAAAGUGUUUUGACAUGAAAUACAUGUAAAAAUAUGCAGAUUAACAUAUUCUGUGCUUGUGCAUAGCUUAAAAAAUACAAUACAAAUCAGAGCACUUUUAACAUUGAUAUGUCAUUUUUUUCUGUUUAUCUGUAGUUUUUUUUUGUAAGGUUUCAUAGAGAAUUCAGGAAUGAGACUGACAUCCCCAAAUGGGAGGGGUGUCUGUAAAAUCACUACCAUCAACAUUUAACAGCUGCAAUAGUUCAGAGAAACUUCAGCCUAUUAGCACUCUUAAUUUUUCACGUUUAGUGUGAUAUAAGGUUGUCCUGAUGUGAUCAUUAAGUUUCUCACACACACACACAUUCACACACUCUUUCUCUUUAUAAGCAUUGAAAAUGUCAGUGAACCAGCAAAAACAAAAAAAUAUAUUUUUAAUUCAUAAACGUGUGAAAUCCCUGCUCAGAUACUGCUUACUGUUGGUUUCAUGUGUGCCUUGUGUUACCUUCUGUAACCCAGACAAAUCCAGACGUGUGUGUGUAUGUUCAUGUGUGUGUGAAGCUGAGAGGAUGUGCAUGUAAACUCGUUCCCGAUAUGAAAUCAACCAAAACACUGCGUUUGGAGCAUUUUUGAACCCUUAGUCAGCUGAAUUGGAUACGGGCGACUAAAAGGAGGGUGCUGUCAGUUCAGUCAGACAAGUGUCUGAUUUUUAGAGAUGAGAAAUGAAACACGGAGCAGGAGGCUAAUGGAAUUGCUCAGUUCAAAUAAAACACAGCUUCCCACCGCCACCAUCUUGCUUGUAUGAAACACGGGUCCCGAUGGGGGUUGUGGUGCGAAGGGUUCCUGUUUGGACCGAGCUAGGUCACGCAGGCCCAUCCAGGCUGCAGUGCAGCCCUGUGACGUGGCAGGUCCGAAUGCUUUAAAAGGUGGUACCACUCCCAGAGAACACCAGGGAGCUGCAUGUGAGCUGAUGAUAAGAGCUGCAAAAUUGAUCAUUUAUUAAUGUGGGAUGGACCCGAAAUGUGAGCAGUAAGGAAUCAGGAGAGGCGUGUGUAGGUGUGUGUGUGUGUGUGUGUGGGUGGGAUGUGUGUGUUUUUCUGUGAGGAGAUGAGAUGAGCGAGAGGAUAUGUGGACAUACUGUGUGCAGCCGCGGAUGGGUCCAGCACAGCCGCUUCAUCCAGGAUAGCUCAUUGCUGUGGUGUGGGACAGUUACUUCAAAGUCUCAGUGGAGUCAUUACUUGGGAGUGACUUUAUUUUUCCGUGCCAGACAUUGAUAUCAAGCAUCGAGACGAGGAAACCUGAGAGGAGGCGAGUUGACAGACCGCACAGACCUGCUCAGGGAAGAUGACCUGCCAAGCUCAAGUGACAUGCAGAGGAAGUGUUUUGAGUGUAUUUUGUUUUGUUUUUUAAUUACCACACAUUUCGCAUAUUAAGCCUCUCCUUUAAAUGUAUAAAAAAAAAAAUAAGGAACCUCAUGAUCAGCUGGGGCCUUUCUGCAUGGAUGUCCUCCAUGUGCCUGUGUGGGUUUUUCUGGGUACUUUCCUCCCACAGUGCAUCUUAAGUUGGGUAAAUAGUGAUUAUAAAUGUGUCUGUGGAUGUGAUUGUGAGAUGUUGUUGUGUGUCUGCGUGUGUUAAACCUCUGAUAGAUUGGCAGCUGGGUCAGGAUUUAACAAGUUUAGAAAAAAAACAAACGGAUUGAACAAAACAGAAAUAAAUAUAUGUUUCAUUUCUUAAAAUGUAAAACAAGCACUUUUUUGGACAUGCAGUGUUUUAUCUGUGAAUUAAGUAAGUUUAAGUGCUGCUUCAUGAUGAUGUUUUGCUAAGACUACAGAACUGGCUUUAUUUAAAAUUUUAAACAUUUAAUUACGUUACCGUUUUCACAUGACAUUGAAUAUAGCUGCCUACAUUACACACAGUACAAUACACUAACAGUACAAGCACACAGAAGUUCAGCUUUGACCUUUGGAACGAUGACAAAAUCAACUUUAUGAAGAUCCACCUGUUUUUUCUGCCUUUAAUUGGAUGCUAUGGUUUUUAUCGGCACAUUUGUGAUGCUGUUGUUUUAUUACAUUGAAUUGUGGUUGAAUUUUACACACUUAACUCCACCCAUUACAGCUUAUCUGUAGUUAGUUUUUUUUUUUUUUAAAGUAUUGUCCUAAUUUCACAAAGGUCAGUUGUCGUUGAGUUUCUGUUCCCACAGGUCGACUGGGUGCGACUGGAGAGCCGUGCGAGAGUUAAACUGUCCUUUGGGGUGAGGUAGUAGGUUGUAUAGUUUUAGGGUCAUUCCCAAGCUGUCAGAUGACUAUACAACUUACUGUCUUUCCUGAAGCGGCUGUAAUAACAUCAUCUUCAUCAUCGUACCCACAAGAGGAUAAGAAGCAUGACUUUUGAAUUUGGACUCGUUUGUUUGUUUAACCUAAAAUAAUAUGCAGAUUUUUGUGGGAAAUUGUUCUCUUUUUAUUGAUGCCUGUUGUUGUUGUUGUUUUUUAUUAUUUUUUAAAAAAAGGUAAGUUCUGCUAGUCUGAAGUUGUAACCAGUGAAGCUUGUUCUCACAGCGUGUAGUAAAUUUAGCGAAGUAAUGUGAAAUCUAGCCACUUUUACUUUUGCAGCUUUUUCAUGUAACUUUUCCUGCAAGUGCAUCCUUUUAUGUGCAGCAUGUAACAUUUCAACUGACAUUAUCAUGGCAAUCCUCAUUGCAAUAAUAAAUAACAAAGUUGCUUUCAGUUUCAUUUAUGCAGCGAUGCGGCUCGCGCACAAAUCCUCUCCGUACCCGCCUGGGUGCUUUAUGAUGUUCGUACAGGGUGAGGUAGUAGGUUGUGUGGUUUCAGGGUUGUGAUUUUACCCCAUCAGGAGCUAACUAUACAACCUACUGCCUUCCCUGGAGGGCAGCAAUACAUCACAGGAGCGCGCGCAUCUUUGUCAUUUUCCCUGCCUCUGAAAAAUGGGACAGUCUCUUUUACAAAGGCCCACAAAAGACUGCCAUUCGAUCUCAAGGGUUCACGUGUAUGGGUGAGUGGCGCUCACUCACACGACGCAUUUCAGAGAGACAAUCACUUUACACAUUUGUAACUCACACUGGGAAGAUGGCAUAAAAAAGGCAUUUAUUUAAUUUUAUUAGCAUUCAUGUUUUAAUACUGCUUGUACUUUUCCCCCAGUAAUUAAAUAAAGACUGGACAAGAAAUAAUUGCUGAGCAAAUAAUGGCUGAAGUCUGAUCUUUGUGCUGAUAACAACUGUGCAACAGUAGAGUCUCCCUAGAUGGGAUAUUUUCUUCGAAAUGCUGCUUUAGUCUCUAAUCCCUUUAAGGAGCUCAUAAUGCCCUGAAAUUCUAAUCCCCAAAGCCUCUGUGUCUGAGGAACAUGUAUCUUUUUAUCUGUCUAGAAAAGUCUCCUAAAAAGCAUGCAUCAUUUCUCUUUUGUUCUUUAAAACAAAAAUCAAUUGCAUGGGAUUUCUUCCAAUUAAGAUGUUAAUACUGUGCAAGAUUAAAGGCAAGUAAAACUCCAGAAAACAAUUGAAGGUAGAGCAAACAGCCAAGAGUCAUGCUGUUUUAUGAAACCACACGUAGGAGUGCAGCUUUUGCUUUGAGUUUUCAAGCGACAUCCCUGACCAAAGCUGAUUCUGUAGCUCGCUGCUUAAAAACCAUUUCGUAUUCAGAAAAAAUGAGCUUGUGUUUCCAUCCCAGAUGGAACGGAAGACCAGGUGCCGAGGUAAAACCAAAGAAAAUCAUAAAUUAUCACCCUGCCAUUUGUUUGUGGGAGAACACGCUGAGCCACCAUGAGGGGUUUUUAUCGUCUACACUUACUGUGCAGGUCCACAGGAAAAUAUGACAGCCAAAAUAUCCUAUUGUCAUGCGUCAUUUCACAGUAGAUGGCGCCAGAUAUUAAAUGCGGUGUUGUUGCUUUGCUGGAGACAAUCGCAGUCUACACUAAUUUGUUAGAUGUACUUUAAGACGGGCUAUAAAUUUCUAAGGAGUUGGUACAGAAUGAGGGUGUCCUGCUGACCUACAUGUAGGAGGUCCAGGCAGGAAAGGAGGGCUGCUUUCUGCCAACUAAAGUAACCUUACAGCAGCACUGACACAACAUCGUGCUUAUGGUUGAAAUAAAGUUAAUUUUGCCACAGGUCAAGUAUGUGUUCCAUAGGGUCACAGUUAAAUAUCAAAAAUCUUCCAAGUGUACACCAUCAAAUAAAAAACACCAGCUGGUAGCCACAGUAUGAAGUGCCAUUAGCACUAAAUUGUGAAGGGAGGCUUUUUGGAGCAACCGUUUUAAAAGCAAGUACACACGCCUACCUUAUUCAUGCUAUUAAAUGUGUUUUAAAGAAGAUGGGGAUUUUUUAAGGUGUAAAUAAAAGGCAAACACCUGAAAGAUGCCCGUGAUUUGUAUCCCAGUGUGUGGCUUAGUAGGUAGAAUGCCAUUCAAACACUCAGACAGUUGUUAUUUGGAUUGCAACUGCAAAUUAGGCUGACACUAAAAUGACCUUCACUUUCUUACUGCUUAACUGUGAGCAGCAUAACACCAAGAGACAGACUUAUUUGUCAUUUCCCAGCAAUACUUGGACACAACACAUAUCUCUGAUUGUCA
ensembl:lncRNA